ensembl:snRNA U1 U1 spliceosomal RNA
AAAUUUAUUACAGUAAAAGACACAUUGCCAUUAAUCCCCCUCAAAAAUACUCCCCCUAGCGAGGCUUAUCCAUUGCACUUUGGAUGUGCUGACCCCUGCGAUUUCCCCAAAUGUGGGAAACUCGACUGCAUAAUUUGUGGUAGUGGGGGACUGGGUUCGCGCUUUCCCCUG